rnacentral:lncRNA from 1 species
UAAUGGGUUAAUUAAUUUGACUCAACCCAAGUUCAAAAGAAGGCAUAUUCUUAACACAUAUCACAUAUGAAAACCGAAAACCAAUAAAUCAAACCGUUGCCGGCGGAUCAUUCUCAUGUUACUGUGUAAAAAUUUAAUCUAAACAAAACUCUUUAUGUUUAAAGAUCUUACUGUGGACCAGUUAAAGUCUCUUGAUCUACUGUACGGUUGAAACUGAAUAUGACGAACAGAGGUUCCGAUUAGUCGCGCACAUGCUCGGCCUCUACGCGUAUCCACACGGAAUCGACGACCUAAUCAUUUUCAUCUCACGAACCGGAUAAGUCACGGACCAUCUGAACGGUGCUAGCAAUCCUUUUAUGAUCCACCAGUUGAUGAAGAGUUGAGAAGUUGAUCGGAGAGAAACACACGG